UUCAAGGCCUUUUUAAAGGCCACCACUGUUGAGCAGCCUACGACAU
rfam:Echinostoma caproni strain Egypt genome assembly, scaffold: ECPE_scaffold0017586